rnacentral:lncRNA from 1 species
CUGGUGGGGUGUCCCCUUGCGGUGUUCAGAGGUGGUUUCUAAGGUGCAGGUCAAACUGUGUGAGGGUGGAAGACGUGGCUCUGUGGAAGCCAGCAUCAAGCCUCUCCUGGGAAAGUGGAGAUUCUUAGUUUUUAUCUUAAACUACGCCCUGCCUACAGCAGGGAGGGGGAGAGGAAGCGGGUGUGUGUGAACCAGUGCUACAGUGAAGGGGCCAACAGAGACAUGGGUAAGUUACAUAGGAACACAUGUUUCUCAAGUCUAAACACUCCGUUCUAUAAGAUUGGCAUGAUUUACGAUAUUCAUUAUGAUUAAGUAGGGAUGAUUACAAAUCUGUUUCCACACCUGGCUUUAUGCAAUUCUGGGAAAUGAUGCCAACACCUCCUAAAUGUUAGGCAGAGUUCCUAGCAAGUGUGACGCCACUCUAGCCUUCCCUACUAAACGCUGAAGGAAAGAUAUAUGCCAGGCUUUCCCAAGCUCUCCUUUAAAAAAAUAGAAGUGAGGGAACACUUCUUGUCUCAUUCCGUCAGACAAAUUAACAAAGCUAGAUAAUAUCACAAGGAAAGCACAGGUGCUUGGACAGCCAUGUUUAAUUUAAUAGCAGCUUUGUUCACAACAAUACAGUGUCCACCAAUAGAUGAUCAAACUGUGUAACAAUAUUAAUAUACAGUGGAAACCAGCCUGGAAGGAUAUUCUGUUGCAAUACAGCUUGAAUGAACACUAGUGAUACUAUGCCAAGUAAUAUAAGCCAGUAUCAAGAGAAAUACUGUAUAAUCUCAUUUAUAUAAAGUAUCUAAAUGAGUCACUUCACAAACAGUAAAGAUAAUCAUGGGGCCUGCUUGAAAGGGGAAUCUUGUGUAAUGGGUUUAGAAUCACAGUUGUGCAAGAUGAAAAUGUACUGGAGAUACUCAUAGUGAGUAUAUUAGAUACUACUAAAGUGUACUUUUGGAAACAGUAUAAACAUAUUUAUUGUGUGCUUCUACCACACUGAAAUAAACAUUAUCCAAUCUUA